UAACUCAGGCUGGAUCAAGAUAUUUGCACAAGGAACUAAGCUCAUAGUAACUCCCCCAGAUAGAAGCCUUGAUGCAGACAUUUCUCCCAAGCCCACAAUUUUCCUUCCUUCAAUUGCUGAAAGAAGACUUCAUAAGGCUGGAACAUAUCUUUGUCUCCUUGAGGACUUUUUCCCUGAUGUUAUUAAGAUAGAUUGGAAAGAAAGGGAUGACGAAACAAUUCUGAAAUCACAGCAGGGAGACACCAUGAAGACUAAUAACACAUACAUGAAAUUCAGCUGGCUGACCGUGACUGGAGCAUCAGUGGAUAAAGAACACAAAUGUAUUGUCAAACACGAGCGGAAUAAAGGAGGAGUUGAUCAAGAGAUUCUAUUUCCUUCACAGAAAAAAGAGCUUGCUGCUAGAAACUCCACAAAACCUUCUGUGAGAUAUAAAGAUGAUACCCUGCAGCUGCAGCUCAUGAACACCUCUGCCUACUACACCUACCUCCUCCUCCUCCUCAAGAGCCUGGUCUAUUCCAGCAUCAUCGCCAUUUGUCUGCUUGGGAGACCAGCAUUCUGUGGCAAUGGGAAGAGUUCCUAACAUAUGGUGGCACCAAGGGUCCACUUGUCUCCAUUGUUUAUUGUCCCUAAAAUUGUCUGCUGUGCAUCUAGUGGGACUUUCUCUCUAAGUUUGGUAUAUUUCAGUUCAAAUGUGUUUUUUUCUCUUGUGUCAUUCUUGCAGAACAGGUUAACAAACCACUGGGUAAACAGAAACUUUCACUCCACAACAAGAACAAAUUCUGCCAUGACUCAGGGGUGGGGCCAGGGGACCAUCCACAGGGGCUUCAGGACCACUCCCUCCUUAAUGUCCACCAGCUCCUCAGCCACCUGGUACUCAUGUCUCUGAGCACAGCCAACACAAAGCUUCCAGUUGCAUCUCUUGGGGCUCUUUAACCAGAUAAUUGCUUCGAAACCAUUUAUUUUACACAUCUGGACUCCCAUCUUUGCUACCUUAGUAUUGUACUGCUUUAU